rnacentral:rRNA from 1 species
UACGGGAGGCAGCAGUGGGGAAUAUUGCACAAUGGGCGCAAGCCUGAUGCAGCCAUGCCGCGUGUAUGAAGAAGGCCUUCGGGUUGUAAAGUACUUUCAGUCGUGAGGAAGGUGUUAAGGUUAAUAACCUUAGCAAUUGACGUUAGCGGCAGAAGAAGCACCGGCUAACUCCGUGCCAGCAGCCGCGGUAAUACGGAGGGUGCGAGCGUUAAUCGGAAUUACUGGGCGUAAAGGGCACGCAGGCGGUUAAUUAAGUUGGAUGUGAAAUCCCCGGGCUUAACCUGGGAAUGGCAUUCAAGACUGGUUAGCUAGAGUCUUGUAGAGGGGGUAGAAUUCCAUGUGUAGCGGUGAAAUGCGUAGAGAUGUGGAGGAAUACCGGUGGCGAAGGCGGCCCCUGGACAAAGACUGACGCUCAUGUGCGAAAGCGUGGGGAGCAAACAGGAUUAGAUACC